rnacentral:tRNA from 1 species
GCCCUGGUGGCGGAAUUGGCAGACGCGCACGGUUGAGGGCUGUGUCCCGCAAGGGGUGGAGGUUCGAGUCCUCUCCAGGGCACAA